AUUGAACGUUGGCGGCAUGCUUUACACAUGCCAGUCGAACGGUAACAGGCCGCAAGGUGCUGACGAGUGGCGAACGGGUGAGUAAUGCAUCGGAACGUGCCCAGUCGUGGGGGAUAACUACUCGAAAGAGUAGCUAAUACCGCAUACGAUCUAUGGAUGAAAGCGGGGGACCGUAAGGCCUCGCGCGAUUGGAGCGGCCGAUGUCAGAUUAGGUAGUUGGUGGGGUAAAGGCUCACCAAGCCAACGAUCUGUAGCUGGUCUGAGAGGACGACCAGCCACACUGGGACUGAGACACGGCCCAGACUCCUACGGGAGGCAGCAGUGGGGAAUUUUGGACAAUGGGCGCAAGCCUGAUCCAGCAAUGCCGCGUGCAGGAAGAAGGCCUUCGGGUUGUAAACUGCUUUUGUACGGAACGAAACGGCUCUGGUUAAUACCCGGGGCUAAUGACGGUACCGUAAGAAUAAGCACCGGCUAACUACGUG
rnacentral:rRNA from 1 species